GUCAGGAUGAAGUCUUCGGUGAUCGGGUAUUGCAACUGCCCGGUGAUCUGCUUGGCCGCCUGUUCCAGGCUGGUGUCCAGGCU
rnacentral:tRNA from 1 species